rnacentral:rRNA from 1 species
UACGUAGGGUGCGAGCGUUAAUCGGAAUUACUGGGCGUAAAGCGUCUGUAGGUGGCUUUUUAAGUCUGCCGUCAAAUCCCAGGGCUUAACCCUGGACAGGCGGUGGAAACUACCAAGCUGGAGUACGGUAGGGGCAGAGGGAAUUUCCGGUGGAGCGGUGAAAUGCGUAGAGAUCGGAAAGAACACCAACGGCGAAGGCACUCUGCUGGGCCGACACUGACACUGAGAGACGAAAGCUAGGGGAGCAAAUGGG